GUACAUAGCGCAGUGGCAGAGCACAUGCUUUGCAUGCAAAACAUCCCAGGUUCAACCCCUGGCAUCAUCA